rnacentral:lncRNA from 1 species
GGGUGGAGAUGAUAAUCUAUCUCCUCUGGAUGGAACUACUACUGUUUUCGAUAAUGUUUAUUUUAGGGGUUUGAAGGAAAAGAAGGGUCUGUUGCACUCAGACCAGGAACUCUACAACGGUGGCUCCACAGAUUCCAUAGUUGAAACCUACAGCAUCAACACUGCCACUUUCUUCAGGGAUGUGGCCAACGCCAUGGUUAAGAUGGGAAAUAUUAGUCCUUUAACCGGAACUAAUGGACAGAUUAGGACCAACUGCAGGAAAGUCAACGGAUCCUAGUCAGUUUAUGGAUUUUAUUUCUUUCUGGUUUAAGUGUCUUUAAUGUUAAUCUCCUACCAUAAAUAAUUGGAAGUUGCUUAUCGCAAAGCAGUCUGGGAAAUUUGCGGAGUUUAUGGUAUUUGUAUUUGUUCGUCUACUUAAAAAAUUAUCUUAAAAAUUUUUUAGUCAGUUUUGGUUCUAUUGCAUAAGUUAAAUUUUUGUAUCAUCAACCAUGGGCACCAUAAUUUUGAAUGAUUGACAUUAUUUUCCUAGUCAUUUGAUUACAAGUAAAUGGUAAGAAAGAUUUUUUCUUACGAGAAAAGAUUUUAAAUUUUCUAAGCCAAUCAGAAGAGCUCUGAAGGGAUAAGAUGGACAAGUAGCCAUUUUGAAGCCUCAGACUUUAAUAUGCAUGCACUAACUAAAUCUAGCUAUCCAAGGUGUUGACUCCCGGUCCCAAUUAGUCAGUAACAUAAAGAAAGGGCAAUGAAUCAUUUUUGAUACACGUAUGACUUAGGGCCCAUAUAAUAAUGAUGGUAUGAAUCAGAUGGAUAAUAGUGGUGAUGUGAAAGCUGCCUCUUCCGUCUAUUCAACCCUAGCAAAUAAUGUAGCCCAAUGCUGGAUCUAGUCUUCUGUCGCUAACAAAACUGUUGAGCCUUAAUUAAUAGGCCCGAUGGCAGUAAUGCAUCAUGCAACUUACCUUUUUGGGCUUGUAAUCAAGAUGUUUUGUUAGAGUGCAUAAUAAACUCCUGAGUUUAAACUUCAAGGAUUUUAUCUUAGCAUGUAUAUGAUAUAUUAUAAGCUUUUAGAAAAAUCAAUAGUUGGACAGGUUUCUCCUUUAAAUUUAUUUAUACAUAUAUUAUAAGUUUUUAGGAAAAUUAAUAAUUCAACAAGUAUAUCCUCCAAAUUUAUUUUAUUAAAAUUCUUUUGUUAAAAAUAUUUAUGAUACAUAAUUUUAUAAAUAGUAUUUAUAAAUUUAUUCUUUCGUUAAUAACUAUUUAUAAUAACUAUAUAUAUAUAUGUCACUUUUUAUUUUGACUUCAUACUUGAAAAUUAAUUAGGAAUAAAAAUAAGAUAAAUUUUUUGGAUACUCAUAUCAUCCCAAUCCUAAUGAUGGAUUUGAGAUGAAAAAUAAAUAGAUUAAAAAUGAAUUUGAGGUUUUUUAUUUUAAACUCAGAUAGAUAUAAAAUAAAUAGAUCAAUGGGCUAAGGCACUUAAAAUUAAAUUUUGUUGUUUAGUGAUUGUGGGUUUUUAGGCUGAAGAGAUUCAAUCAAGGCGAGUUUAAGUACUGCUAUCACUGACCUCACCCAAGUGGUCUUAUGGGCUUCACUACCAAGGAAAUGGUGGCUCUCUCAGGUGUACUGGUCGGCAUUUGGUAGCAAGCAUGAUUAGAAAAUUGACAAAAUAGUAUGUUUGCUGUUUUAAUUUAAAAAAAAUGAUAUCAUAUUUCAAGAGUGGUAUUUAUUUCCGUUGUCAAAUGGCCCUCUACUUUACUGCAUGUCUUUCACCAAUAUUCUUAACUGUACUAUUUUCCCCCCUUAGAAUAAAGGCAUCACUAUCAUUCUGCUGAUGACACUUUUCUUUUAUGGUAUCUAAAAGUCAUUCAACUUUUAAGUUAAAGAGCAUAAUGUUAGUCCUGUGGAACUUGUACACGAUGUCGGCCGAGUUGAGUACUUCAUGCACAAGAGCUUAAUUUUAUUAAAAAUAUUAUAUAUAUACACACACACCGAAUGGUAAAAUCCAUUUAUGACCAGAUAAACUACCAGCUGCAACAGAUCUUCGAGGAGCUUUUCUUGCAUAAUCUGGGCCAUUAGCCUACAACAAUGGACUUCUAUUUCAAAACUAAGGGCGACGACAGUAGUGUUGUUUGCUCGGAAUCCCUUCACCCGAUUGCCAAGAGGGUGGCGAUUGUGUUCUCUUCUUUCCCCAAGAUGGCUGAGAAAGUCCCCUUCACCCUGAAAAAUUAAAGAAUGAGAUUCUACAUUAAAAGUUUUAAUAAAACGAGACCCAACGAUGAAUUUCGGGUUUACAGCAGGCCCUUUAAGGGAUAGGAUCAUAGGACAAACUACAAGUAGGAGUUUGAACUUGGAAGGUCCAAAUCCAGACUUUUUCAUGCACUUCAACUAAGCCCAUCAAAGGUGUUCACUCUCAGUCUCAAUUAGUGAAUAAAAUAAAGAAAUGUUGAAAUGGGUCUCAAAUUCCUAAUAUUUUCUUAUCCAAGAACUCAAAAGUCAUACAUAAUUUUUUUAUAAUAUAUAUAUUAUAGUAAAACAAUUCCUCUUGAUUGUUAAUCAAAUCAUAUUAAAACCUCAUGUAUCUUUAAUUAGAUUGUUUUAUAUUUAUGUUUUCAAAUUAAUAUUGUUUAUAUUAAGACUUUCGAUACCACAAGAAAAAAUGAUGAUGAAUUAAUCAGGCGUAUAUGAAUUAGGCCCACAUGAAAAAGAUGGUAUUUAUAAGAUAUAUGGAUGGUGAAGAUGCUCUAUCUAACAUUAAUGUAACCCAAUUCUGGAUCUAGGUUUCGGUUGCUAGCAGAACUAUUCAGGUUCAAUGGACUCACUAUUUUUGGUGCCAGUCUUCAGUUUAGGCCUUCAAAAAAAUUAUUAUGAUUGAAAUACCUUCAGUAGUUACAGUUUAUAAUUUAUGAUUUGACAUGGUUUACCUUCAAUUUUGAGGUCAAAAUUAUAGCCUUUUCAGCCUCUGUCCAGCUUCUAAAGGAACUAUUUUUUCUAUAGAAACAAAUUAUUUAAAUGCUUGAAGCAUAUAUUGCAGGGUAGGUAGAGAUUCAAUGCAUAGGACCAACCCCCAUAGAAAUAAGAAACCCCACAAAUUUAACCAAGAGCCUUUCAAUCAUUGGCACUAUCCCCUUGCAAGCAUCGAGUCAAGUACUUGGGUUCGAUUAUGUGUGUCUUUUUAAUGUCUUUCCAUAUAUAUAAAUUUUACAGCCACGCAUGCAAGGAGAGGCCUUGGCCCAGAAGCAAUACACUACUAUCCCGAAUCUAACUUCAUUAUACACGGAAAGCUUGAGGCUGAAAACUAGCCUAUUAUAAUAUGUAGGCGUGUUGCGGACAUGAAAACAAAUACAGGUACAGACCAAAGUAAAACCCGUGGAAGAAAGGAUUUUGGAUAAGAGUAUGAUAGUUUAAAAAAAUAAUUCCUAAAUUACCAUUGUGGAAAAAAUAAUUCCAAAUUUACUGUAUUUUAAAAAAUUUACACAUGAAAAUCGUCUAUUGAAGAGACAAUUUUCUCAAAUUUUUAUUUUAUUUUUAAAUAAUAAUUUGGGAAAAAUCGUCUCUUGAAGUAACGAUUUUCUUAAAAAAGUGAUGAUUCCCCGGUGCCCCCCCCAAAAAAAAAAAAAAUCAUUUUUUCAUUCCUUAUAAAUUUUUUAAUUAAUGAUAUAUUUUUUAAUAAUAUAAUUAUUAUAAAUUUAAUUAAUUUUAUUUACUAAAUUUAAUAUAUAAAAAAAUUAUGAUUAUUGAGAUAUUUAUCUACAAUAAUAUUUUUUAAAAAUAUAAAUUAUGUUUAAUAUUUAGAUAUUGAUUUUAAAAAUAUUUUCUUCUUAAUCUUCACUUUUUUCUUUAAAUUAAUUCAAUUAAUUAUAAUUAAUAAAAUUAAUUUACUUUGAUAUUGUUUUUUAUUUAUAAGAUAAAUAAUAUUUAUCUAAUAAUUUUUAUUUCUUUUGCUUUGUAAUUUAAAAAAAUUAUUAUCAAUUUUAUGUGAAAAAUGCGUUUAUAAAAAAAUUGUUAUUAAUUUCUCAAAUAAUUAUUACAAAAUAAAUAAUUUUGUUAUAUAAAUUUUAAAAUUAAAAAUAUUAAUUUUUAAUUUAAAAUUUAACUGUAAAAGGAAUAAAUAUAGAAAAAUAAAUUAAUUUAUUAUUCAAUAAAUUAAUUUUCAAUAUGAAGAGAUAUAAUUUUUUAAGUAUUAAUCAAUUUAAAAAGAAAUAAUAAUCAUUUGUAUAUUAAAAUAUUUUAUUUAAUAAUUAUAAAUGAUAAACAACUAAAGUAAUUUGAAAAAAUAAUAAAAUAUUUCUUUAAAAAAUAAUUUAAUACACUUAAAAUUAGAAAUAAUUAACUAUUUUUUAUUAAGAAAAAAAUUGAGGAAAUAUUUUGUUAUAUAAAAAUUUUUAUUUGUUUUUAAUUUUUAAAGUUAUAGGUUCCAAGAAAAUCCAUCAAAUAAAAAAAAUCAUUUUUUCAAAAACUAUAUAUCCAAAUAAAAACCUUGAAAUUCAAAUAUAUAAUAUCAUAAAUAUAAACACCAAGUCAAUCCUUAAUUAUCAAAUAUUUUUUAUAUUAAAUAAUCUAAGUCACCAACUAUCAUGAUUAUAAGAAAACCAAUAAUAUUGUUCAUAUAAAUACUAAAAAAUCAACAAAUAUCCCAACAAUUAAUAAAGUAUCAACCAUAAUAAAAAAAUCAAUUAUUAUCAUGAAUGCAAAAAACCAACAACUUUGUUCAUAUGAACCAUCAACAAAUAAAUAAUAAAAAAAAUCAAUAUCUAAAUAUUAAACUUAAUUUAUAUUUUUAUAAAUAUUAUUUAUGAUAAAUAUCUCAAUAAUUAUAAUUUUUUAUAUAUUAAAAUUUAAUAAAUAAAAUUAAUUAAUUUUAUAAUAUAUAUUUAUAUUAUUAAAAAAAUAUAUCAUUAAUUUUAUUUUUUUGUGGAGAAAAAUACGAUUUCUCCCUAUUUUUUUUCUUUUAAAAAUCAUAUAUUCAAGAGACGAUUUUAGUGUGUAAAUUUUUUUAAAAAUAAAUGUUAGAAAUCAUAUUUUCAAAAGAUGAUUUUUUUAUAUAUAAAUUGUUUUCAAAUAAACGAUUUAAAAAGGAAAUAACGUUCUCUUUCAUAUUUAGCAAAAACUAUGGUAGAUUUGAAAUUAUUUUUUUAACCACGGUAGUUUAGAAAUUGUUUUUUUAAAUUGUCGUACUUUUAUAAAAAAUCAAAGAAAGAUAUGGUUUGGCCCUUCAUUCUAUUUUAGCUUAAGAUUUACAAAAUCUUUUUUGAAUAAACAACUCUAUCUGAACUAAAUAAAGUAUAACAAAAAUCCAAUAUGAUACUUCCAUCUGUUUCUAAUAAAAACUGAACUCAAUCAAUGUGAUCAACUCUAUAUAUCAUAGAAAUCAAAUUAACUAGAUAUAAAAUGAAAAAUCAAACCAAACCAAAUAUUUUAAGAUCCAUUUGGUUUGGUUUUUAAUUAUAGAUUUGUAUUUGUUUUGAACUUAAAAAUUAUUAAUAGGAGUUUAUAUUAAAUCUUGAGUUUUAUUUAUUUUUAAAAUUAUUGAAACCAACUUGAAUUUGAUAUUAAAAAUCUAUCAAAUCCAUUUAGAAUUGAUUUGAUCAUAAUAUAAAAAUAAUGAAUUACUUUAAUAAAAUCUAAUAUAGAAAAAUUUCUCAAAUAUCAAAUAAUUAUGUAUAAAUUUUAAAAUAUUGGUUUGAUUUCGUUUUUAUCUAUUAGGAAAUAAGAAAAUCGAAAAUUGAACUAUCAAGGCCAAUUUCAAAAUUCUCAAAUCAAACCGAUUUUUUUUUUUAUUAAAAAUUGAACCAAUAUCAUAGGUUUUGAUAGAUUUUUUAUUUUUUUAUUUACUUUACCUAGACCCGAAAUAAUAGUGGGCAAGUCACAUGAAUACAUGAAUCAACACAAACAACCCAAAAGUUAGGAUUUGAAAAUCGAAAAUCUGUUGUAAGCUAUAAGCUUGACAGCAAACUGUAAACAUUGUCCAUGGAUUUUUUUUUUUUUUUUUUUUUGUUAUUAGAGUACCCUAAACAGGCGGUUAGGGACCUAAUAAAAUAGCCUUCUUUUUUUCAAGGUACUUGAUCAAGAGUUUAUUUGAUUAUGUGAUUUAAAUACAAUUUUUAUUUCUAAUUAAAAACAUAUUUUUUUAAAACAAAAUAAGAUAGGGAAUAGUUUUAAAGAAUAAGUAAAAAUCAUUUUCAACUAUUAAAAAAUAAAAUAAAAAUAUAGAGAAAUAAAGAAAUAAUUUAAAAAACCUAUAAAAAAAAUGUUUAAAUAUGAGUUGUCUCUAUAUUAUGUGUGUUUUUAAAAUUUCUUUUAAUUUCUCUAAAUUUUUUCAUGGCUAAUUAAAUAGAUUUCAAAUAAAGCAGAUUUGAUAGAUAAGAUUUACUCUAUUUUUUUAAAAUAAUUUGAAACUAAAAUAUUGAUUAAUAUUAGAAGGAAAUAUAUAAUAGACUAAAACUUAUUUUGAGUGACUUUACUAAUUUUUUUCUUUAUAUAUCAUUUUUUCAUAAUUAAUUUUUUUUUAAAAUUUCAAUUAGAUAAAUAAAUUCUAAAUUAAGUAAAACCAAAUUAUAGAAUUUGUAAAUUUAUGAACAAAAAUUAAUGGAGAAUAACUUUGUUGCUUCUCAUUUGGUCAAAACAUAUUUUUUUUUCAAAUUUUCUUAAUAAAUAAAUAAACUUCAAAUCAAAUAAGAUUUAAUAUAUUUGAUUCUUUCACCGAUAGAUUAUUUUUAAAAAUAAUUUCAAAUUUUAAAAAAUCAAUCAAUUAUUAGAAUUUUACAAAUGAAAAUUGGUCUGAAAUAACUAUUCUGAUUCUCCUUAACACUUUUAUGAUUUUUCAUGAACUUCAAAUAAAAUAAGGCUUUAUGCAUUGUGCUUAUUAGUCUAAUAAUUUUCAAAAAAUAAUACAAUAUCACUAAACAGUAAUCCGGAUUAAUGUGUUCCAAGUACUACUUUUAUUCAAUUCCCUUAAAUCAUUAGCCACCACAUCAAAAUUUUAACCAGCUGAUUACAUCCAUAUUGAUCUUAAUAAAAACAAACAGCUUUAUUAAUUCGAUGAAUGGGGAGGGGGAGGUUGUCUAUUGCUAAACAGACAAAUUGCAGUAGCCGGUUUUGAAUAAGUUGAUGGCGAAGACAAUUCCACAAGAACUGAUAGCAUGUCAGCAUGUGGCUGUGUUAUCUUCAUUCUUUGGAAGACGAUUAAAGUCUGAUUUUGGAGCAGUAGGAGUGAGAAUUUCGGGAUAAGGACAUCGAUGCCAUCCACGAAUUAUGUUUUUGUCAUGAUUUGGCUGUCUGGUCAAAAUAAUGGAGCUGGAGGUUGCAAAUAUCAACGCAUGCCUUUUUCAUCUCAAGGCUCUGACACAGAUAUUUAUGUCCUUGGCUCCAUCCCUGUAUCCCACAAAGCUAACCAACCAACCAUGUUUUCAGGGGGAUAUUUAUCAGAAAGAAAAUAAAAAAAUAUUAAGUGAGGCAUAUUUUUCGGACUGGCCCGUGGAAACCACAUGGCUGAUGUUGACAAGUACUCGAUACUCAUUAAGGAAUUCAAAGUCCCGAUGAAGCAAAUUCCCUCAAUAUCUUCCCUGAAAAUUUCUGAAAAACCAUUCCUCAGAUGAAGCAAUCACGGAAGCCUUUGAUUUGCAACAUGCGCGUAUUCUCCCUCAGAUUGAGGGUAAAGGAGGUUGGAGAGCUACUGACUUUCAUAAUUAUGUAAAAUAUGCUACUUCUGGAAGAGAAGACUUGGAGCUACAAUCCACCGAGCAAGUGGGCUCAUUUCCCGAUAAUGAAAACCUUAUUUGUUUUGUUAUAUCCACCGAUCUUGACUUGAUAAACAUCCAAGUCAAGUACUCAACAUCAUGGUCUUUUCGAAAGGCCGGUGGCAAAAAAAGUAAAGUAUAGGCGUGGGUCAGGCUUGCACCACUUGCAACUCCAAUCAACCCAAUCAAACAAAACAGCCAACCCACUCCUUACCCGUCACUCUUCUCAUUUUCUUCCUUCAUUAUACUUUUCCAAUGUUAAUCAUCCACUACUACGUAAAAUGUCAAAAGAGCGCAAUCAUAUACUACUAUCAAUUGAUUAAUAUAGAGAAAAAACGCCACCCUCAUGCCCGAAAUUCAAACUGGACUUGAUUACUUUACGUCGGUGGUCAAUUAAAGGCCACCUCAAACUCCAUCGAACUUGUGUAUUGAAACUAUGUAUCCUCCAAAUCUCUCACUUACUUGAUCUCAAUCAAACACUAGGAACGUUAAGGGAAUUAAGCCAAAUUUCCAACAUGCGAGAAAUAAAAAAUAUAGAAAAUACACGUCAAAGAAAAAUAAUUAUACACACAAGACAGUAUUUACGUGAUUCGAUAAUUUACCUAUGUUCAAGUAGUUGUAAGGAUAUUACUAUUAUGAGAGAAGAAUACAGAGUACCACAUUUUGCUACAAUAUUUUCUCUCUAUAUAAAACACGAUAACGACACCACAAUAAAAAACCCUAAUUACAAAAGACGGUUCCACAAUGAGUUAAAUGGACCCAAAAAUCAUAUUUGGCUAUAAUAUUUUUUCUCUAUAUAAAACACGGCAACGACACCACAAUAAAAAACCCUAAUUACAAAAAACAAUUUCACAAUGAGCUAAACAUACCAAAAAAAUUUUCUCAAGGGCAACGCCCCCAAACCCCCAGAAGACUUGUCCAUGAGACGCAAUAUUAUUCGAGUCAAGUCAUCAAAUCAGAUCAAAUAAAACUAAGCUCCAUAAAACCCGACAGAAAUGUAGUUAGUUCUAGAAUGUGCAUGAAAACUAUUUCGCCAUGAGUAGAUCUACUGAGAGAUGACAAAGUCUAAGAGAUGCCUAAUUCUAAGUUCUCAUUCCGAGCACGCGCUUUGUUUUAACCACCACCGAAGAAUCCCCCCGAGCACGCGCUUUGUUUUAACCACCACCGAAGAACCCCCCCCCCCCCCCCCCCAAAAAAAAAAGGAAAAAAAGUCAACAUGUCUUGUAAGCCGUCUACUACACAUUACUUUUUUAUAAAGAAAAGUGUUCCACGACUAGCAUAAAUAUGGAGUACUACUGCACCAAGAAAGAGCACCAGAUCAGGCUUAACCAGUUCCAAACACAAAGGUUCCUUUGUUUGUGUCUCAACACAUCCAAAUUAAGCCAUGGCUUCCCUAUCCUUGUUUUCCUUAUUCUGUGUGUUUUCGUUUCUAUUGGGGAUGGCACAUGCACAGCUCUCCUCCAACUUCUAUGCAAGUUCAUGUCCUAAGGCUCUCUCUACCAUUCGAGCUGCAGUAAACAAUGCAGUGGCCAAAGAGCGCCGCAUGGGAGCCUCAUUGCUUCGCCUCCAUUUCCAUGAUUGCUUUGUAUUGGUAAGUCUCCUCCUCCAUAUUUAACUCCUUUUUACUGCAUUUUUUUCAGUGCUUGUUCUGGUUACUUCUGACUAGUCUGCAAAUUAGAUUUGAAAUCCAGAAGUCAACCAUGAUCAUGUGGCACUGGUUGACCCUUAAGAUAUUAAUAAACCUCAAUAAUAAUCCCUUCAUACAUGACAUGUCACAUGCAUACGUGCAUAAGGCUGUUUAACAGGAAAAUAUGUACUAAUAACAUCUUCAUGUACAAAUUUAACAGGGAUGUGAUGCUUCUAUAUUAUUGGACGACACUGCAAGCUUUACCGGAGAGAAGACAGCAGGACCAAAUAAGGACUCUGUGCGAGGAUAUGAGGUGAUCGACACCAUUAAAUCUCAAGUGGAAAGUUUGUGCCCUGGGGUUGUUUCUUGUGCAGAUAUUGUAGCAGUGGCAGCUCGUGACUCUGUUGUUGCUGUAAGAGACCUACUUCCUUCACAACUACUAUAUAACCAUUAAUCGUGACCUUGCAGUCUAUAAUAGGGUUCAAAGAUACAAUAAUCUGUCUUCCUUAUUCUACAAACACCAUUAUUUUAGAGUAUUUCGGAAAUACUAUUUCCAGCCAGCCUUCAUUAGCCACCAUGGAAACCUUAUCAUGGACAAACUUUUAACAUAGGAGCUAAUUAAACAUGGCUAUGUAUACCGGCGUUUACUGAACUAUGAUACAAACCAUACCAAAAAAAAUUGAUGUUUUUAUAAAAUAUUUAUGGGCUAAGACCUUUCAAAUAAUUGGUUAAUUAACUAAAUUAAUAUUGCGGUUUACUGAUUAUAUGUUUUUUCAGUUGGGUGGCCCAACAUGGACCCUGCAAUUAGGCAGAAGAGAUUCAACCACGGCGAGUUUGAGUACUGCUAACAGUGACCUCCCUGGCCCGGCCUCAGAUCUUAGUACUCUUAUAUCUAGAUUCUCCAACAAGGGCUUCACUACUAAGGAAAUGGUGGCUCUCUCAGGUAUGCUCUGGCAUUUGGUAGCAAAAAUGAUUAGAAAAUUGAUAAAUUAGUAUAUUUUCUGUUUUAAUAUUAAAAAAAUGAUAUCAUAUUUUUUCAUUUUCGUUGUCAAAUGGGCCGUCUACUUCACUACUUCGUGUCUUUGACCAUAUCCUUAACUACUCAUGCUUUUUCCCCACAAAGUGAAGGCAUCACUAUCAUUGGAAGAAAGUGGAAAAGAAAAGACAGCAAAAAAUGACGCUUAUUAGUCACCUUAGAAGUCAAAAUAUUGUUAAUUUUUUAGAAGAAGUCACAUACGACCUAGAGCAAGUUGAGGCACAAGUACUCAAUUUUAUAUUUGAAUUUAUUAUCCGAAAUUCCUCCUAAUUUGAAAUAUAUUUCGUUUUAUUUUUUUAUUUUUAGGAACUCAUACCAUAGGUAAAGCAAGAUGCACAAGCUUUCGGAGUCGAAUUUACAACGAGACCAACAUCGAUGCAGCAUUUGCAACAUCAAAACAGAAAAUCUGCCCAAGCACGGGUGGAGAUAAUAAUCUGUCUGAUCUGGAUGAAACGACUACUGUUUUCGAUAAUGUUUAUUUCAGAAAUUUGAAGGCGAAGAAGGGUCUGUUGCACUCAGACCAACAACUCUAUAAUGGUGGUUCCACAGAUUCCAUAGUUGAAACCUACAGCACCAACUCUGCCACUUUCUUUACGGAUGUGGCCAAUGCCAUGAUUAAGAUGGGAAACCUGAGUCCCCUAACAGGAACUAAUGGAGAGAUCAGGACCGACUGCAAGAAAAUCAAUGGAUCUUAGUCAAUUUAUGAAUGUCUUU